rnacentral:misc_RNA from 1 species
GCAAACUUGGUCAUUUAGAGGAAGUAAAAGUCGUAACAAGGUUUCCGUAGGUGAACCUGCGGAAGGAUCAUUACUGGGAAAAAGGUUUGUGGAUCGACGAAAGUUGGUUCGAACACGCCCGCCCACCCUUUGUCACACUGUACGGAUUACUUCGGUCGAAGGCAGCGAAGGCUGUGAAAGUGGUGUUUGUCUGCCACGGCCGGUUUUCACAACGCUAGAUGCAUUUUUGAAAUCUUGUCUGAGAAAGAAAAAAAAGAAAACGAAAUUAAAACUUUCAACAACGGAUCUCUUGGUUCUGGCAUCGAUGAAGAACGCAGC